UACGUAGGGACCAAGCGUUGUUCGGAUUUACUGGGCGUAAAGGGCGCGUAGGCGGCUUGUCAAGUCACUUGUGAAAUCUCUGGGCUUAACCCAGAACGGCCAAGUGAAACUGACAUGCUAGAGUGCAGAAGGGGCAAUCGGAAUUCUUGGUGUAGCGGUGAAAUGCGUAGAUAUCAAGAGGAACACCUGAGGUGAAGACGGGUUGCUGGGCUGACACUGACGCUGAGGCGCGAAAGCUGGGGGAGCAAACAGG
rnacentral:rRNA from 1 species